CUUUCUCCAUAAAGCUGUUCCCAUCCUUCUGUGAUGGAAAAGCCCUGAUUUCGUUCUCAUGGUGUUCUUUAUCCACAGAUUAGUGUGUCUGAGGUCACUGGAUUAAUGCUUCACAUCCACUGCUGUCCUCAGGGAAUAGAAGUUGCAUCCUCAAAUCCGAUUAUUUACUGAAUUGGCUGGGCUGGAGCCAGUGCUUUGGGAAAGCUGAGUUUUGGUUACCCUGUGUCCUCUGCACCUGCAUCAGCCAGCCCAGACAGCACAUCCUGCAGCCCAGGAGGGCACUGGGGUUCCAGGGGCCUUAUAAAUCAGUCUGGUGUAUUUCUAAUGAUGCUGAUGAGAUCACAGAGAAAAUAAUUUGGAUUGGAGGAAGAGAGAAUUGGAAGAACGUUCAUCAGCUGUGA
rnacentral:lncRNA from 1 species